CGACCUUGAUCUUCUGAGAA
rnacentral:siRNA from 1 species